GCCGGCCGGCCUGACGAUCGCCUGAUUACGCAAGUAAUCCGGAGGAAAGUCCGGGCUCCGCAGGGUGCGGCGCUGGGUAACUCCCAGCGGAGGAAACUUCGGGAAAGCGCAGCAGAAAGCAAACCGCCGAAACUUGUUUCGGCAAGGGUGAAACGGUGAGGCAAGAGCUCACCGGCCGGCCGGGUGACCGGCCGGGCCAGGCAAGCCCCGCCAGGAGCAAGACCAAAUAGGGAGACUGCAGAGUGACCCGCUCUGUCUCCGGGUUGGUCGCUGGAGCGGUUCAGCAAUGUUCCGCCUAGAUGAAUGAUCGUCCCGGCCGGCCCGGCCAGGGCCGGACCGGCCGGACAGAACCCGGCUUACCGGCCGCCGGCCGGC
rnacentral:RNase_P_RNA from 1 species